rnacentral:rRNA from 1 species
AUUGAACGCUGGCGGCAGGCCUAACACAUGCAAGUCGAGCGGAUGAAGAGAGCUUGCUCUCUGAUUUAGCGGCGGACGGGUGAGUAAUGCCUAGGAAUCUGCCUGGUAGUGGGGGAUAACGUCCGGAAACGGGCGCUAAUACCGCAUACGUCCUACGGGAGAAAGCAGGGGACCUUCGGGCCUUGCGCUAUCAGAUGAGCCUAGGUCGGAUUAGCUAGUUGGUGAGGUAAUGGCUCACCAAGGCGACGAUCCGUAACUGGUCUGAGAGGUUGAUCAGUCAGACUGGAACUGAGACACGGUCCAGACUCCUACGGGAGGCAGCAGUGGGGAAUAUUGGACAAUGGGCGAAAGCCUGAUCCAGCCAUGCCGCGUGUGUGAAGAAGGUCUUCGGAUUGUAAAGCACUUUAAGUUGGGAGGAAGGGCAGUAAGUUAAUACCUUGCUGUUUUGACGUUACCGACAGAAUAAGCACCGGCUAACUUCGUGCCAGCAGCCGCAGUAAGAC